AACGAACGCUGGCGGCAUGCCUAACACAUGCAAGUCGAACGAGACCUUCGGGUCUAGUGGCGCACGGGUGCGUAACGCGUGGGAACCUGCCCUUAGGUUCGGAAUAACUCCCCGAAAGGGGUGCUAAUACCGGAUAAUGUCUUCGGACCAAAGAUUUAUCGCCUUUGGAUGGGCCCGCGUUGGAUUAGCUAGUUGGUAGGGUAAAAGCCUACCAAGGCGACGAUCCAUAGCUGGUCCGAGAGGAUGAUCAGCCACACUGGGACUGAGACACGGCCCAGACUCCUACGGGAGGCAGCAGUGGGGAAUAUUGGAUAAUGGGCGAAAGCCUGAUCCAGCAAUGCCGCGUGAGUGAUGAAGGCCUUAGGGUUGUAAAGCUCUUUUACCCGGGACGAUAAUGACAGCACCGGGUGAAUAAGCUCCGGCUAACUCCGUG
rnacentral:rRNA from 1 species